AGUAGCAAGUAGAGUACAUUCAACAUGAAUACUACAUAAUCAUACUUACAAGUGGAACAAUGUGAAUUUGAAGCCAAUUCUUCUGUAGGCCCGAAUUUCACAUGUAGUACUAUAACUCCUAUCCAUCUUUAAUAACAUAUCAUAUUUGAACUCAUAACAUAAUUGAACGUAAGAAGAUACUCAAAUAACUUUGAUAACUCUUAACUUCGUCCAAUUUUUCUCAAAAAAAUUGCGUGAGCACUAGGGGCAGGAAGAGAUGGCGAAUUGAGUGGUAUAUACUCACACACAUACACUUGGUAUUAGGUUUUAGGGGGAAUAAUUUUUUU
rnacentral:lncRNA from 1 species